rnacentral:rRNA from 1 species
CUGGCGGCGUGCUUAACACAUGCAAGUCGAACGGUCGAUAGAGAUAAGCUGCUUAGCUCUAAAGAUAGUGGCGGACGGGUGAGUAACACGUGGAUAACCUGCCCUUUAGAUUGGGAUAACUUCGGGAAACUGGAGCUAAUACCGGAUAUAUUCCUAGGUUCGCAUGGACCAAGGAAGAAAGGCGAAAGCCGCUAAAGGAUGGGUCCGCGUCCCAUUAGCUAGUUGGUGGGGUAACAGCCUACCAAGGCGACGAUGGGUAGCCGGCCUGAGAGGGUGGCCGGCCACACUGGGACUGAGACACGGCCCAGACUCCUACGGGAGGCAGCAGUGGGGAAUCUUCCGCAAUGGGCGAAAGCCUGAACCGGAGCAACGCCGCGUGAGUGAUGAAGGCCCUUGGGUCGUAAAACUCUGUCUUCAGGGAAGAAAACAAUGACGGUACCUGAGGAGGAAGCCCCGGCUAACUACGUGCCAGCAGCCGC